CAAAACCAGUUGUCACACCACCACCACUUCGAUCAUUGCGGCGCGUGUCCUGGUUGACAAGGAUAUUCUUUCGGAGAAGGGCUCAUCAGAGCUUUUGGAGCCGGGAGCAUCGCAGUUACAGCACUCGUCAACGAGGAAACGCGCCGGUAAGGAAUUGAAAUUUCCGUUCCAAGAUCACAGCAGAUCGUUCCAGUUGUUUAUUUUUAGCAAAAAUCAUCAAGCAAGAGGAAAAUGGUCAGAGGAGCGAAGCUAUCCUUGUUAACCGGAUUGUUAGAGUGGCCUGGUUACCAUUUAUAAGGACACUUGAGCACCCCUCGAAGCGGCUGGAAGCAAUAUUGGAAAACCUUUUUUCUGAUGGCAGCAUUCAGCGGUCUUCGGCUUUCCUCGUCCGAACCGUACAUCACCUCCUCGUCCGAGUCGUUGAUCAUCGAGAAGGUCGGGUUGUCCUUGGCAAUCACGG